GACGAACGCUGGCGGCGUGCUUAACACAUGCAAGUCGAACGGAAAGGCCCUGCUUUUGUGGGGUGCUCGAGUGGCGAACGGGUGAGUAACACGUGAGUAACCUGCCCUUGACUUUGGGAUAACUUCAGAAAACUGGGGCUAAUCCCGGAUAGGAGCUCCGGCUGCAGGGUGGGGGUGGGAAAGUUUCGGCGGUUGGGGAUGGACUCGCGGCUUAUCAGCUUGUUGGUGGGGUAGUGGCUUACCAAGGCUUUGACGGGUAGCCGGCCUGAGAGGGUGACCGGCCACAUUGGGACUGAGAUACGGCCCAGACUCCUACGGGAGGCAGCAGUGGGGAAUAUUGCACAAUGGGCGGAAGCCUGAUGCAGCAACGCCGCGUGCGGGAUGACGGCCUUCGGGUUGUAAACCGCUUUCGCCUGUGACGAAGCGUGAGUGACGGUAAUGGGUAAAGAAGCACCGGCUAACUACGUG
rnacentral:rRNA from 1 species